AUUCCACCAGGAUACAAUCUUUGAUAUACGACAGAGUUUUCCCACCAAAGAAAAAGCACAUAAGCAUGAACCACAAAAGAAAAGUUACCGAAAAAAAUCUGUUGAAAUGAAACAUAGGAAAAUCUAUGUAGAAAAGAAACUUUUGAAAUGUAAUGAUUGUGAGAAAGUCUUCAACCAGAGCUCAUCCCUUACUCUUCAUCAGAGAAUUCAUACUGGGGAGAAACCCUAUGCAUGUGUUGAAUGUGGGAAAACGUUCAGCCAGAGUGCAAACUUGGCACAACAUAAGAGAAUACAUACUGGGGAGAAACCCUAUGAAUGUAAAGAAUGUAGGAAAGCCUUCAGCCAGAAUGCACACCUGGCCCAGCAUCAGAGAGUUCAUACUGGAGAGAAACCUUAUCAGUGUAAAGAAUGUAAAAAAGCCUUCAGCCAGAUUGCACACCUGACUCAGCAUCAGAGAGUUCAUACUGGAGAGAGACCUUUCGAAUGUAUUGAAUGUGGAAAGGCCUUUAGUAAUGGUUCAUUUCUUGCUCAGCAUCAGAGAAUUCAUACAGGAGAGAAACCUUAUGUGUGUAAUGUGUGUGGGAAAGCCUUUAGCCAUCGUGGAUACCUAAUUGUACAUCAGAGAAUUCAUACUGGAGAGAGACCCUACGAAUAUCAGAAUAUGGAUGUGAAGCAACUACAUGAAAUUGGGGAAAGAACUUAAAGAACUACAAGGAGAAAUAAACAAAUCCAGAAUUAAAAUUGGAGAUUUCAGCAUGCCUCUCAAUAGAACAUAUAAAUAGAAAAAAUAGUGAGGAUAUUGAAGACUUGAAUAUUAUCACCAACUUGACCUAAUUGAUAUUUGUGGAAAUAUUCACCCCAAGAAGAGUAAAACACACAUUCUUUUCAAAUGAACCCAGAACAUUCACCCAGACAGACAAUAAUUCCAGACCUUAAAACACAUAUCAGUAAACUGAAAAGGAUUGAAGUCAUACAAAAUAUGUUUUCUAACCAGAAUGGAUUUAAAUCUAUAACAGAAAAGUAAUUAGAAAACACCCAAAUAUUUAGAACAAAAGAGUACACUUUUCAGUAACCAUAUUUCUAAGAAGAAAUAAAAAGAGAAAAUAAAUAUUUUGAGUUGAAUGAAACUUAGAAAAAAGUACAUCAAAAUGCAUGGGAUGUACUACAGUACUUAGAAAGAAAUACAGUGGCACUAAAUGCCAAUGUUACAAAACAAAUGACUCAAAUCAGUGACUCCUAUUUCCGCCUAACAAAUUAGAAAUAGCAGAGCAAUGAAACCCAAAGUUAACACAAGAAUGGAAAUAAUAAAAAUCAGAAUGGAAGCCAAUGAAAUAGAAACCUGAAAAACAAAAGCUGGUUCUUUGAGAAGGUCAAUGAAACAAACAAAAAAAUUGCAGACAAUUAAAGAAAAAGAUUAUACAAGUUAUCAGUAUCUAGAAUGGCAGAUGUGGUAUCACUACAAAUGAUAGUUAUUAAAUGAAUAAAAGAAUGUUAUGAACUUUAUGCAAAUAAUUUGACAAUUUAAAAAUUCUUGAAAGAAGCUAACAAGGUUUACUGAAGAAAUACUCAGUUCUAUAUUAGAAAAAUGGAAUUUGUGGGCAAGCGCGGUGGCUCACGCCUGUAAUCCCAGCACUUUGGGAGGCCAAGGUGGGCAGAUCACGAGCUCAGGAGAUCGAGACCAUCCUGCCUAACACGGUGAAACCCCGUCUCUACUAAAAAUACAAAAAAAUUAGCCGGGCUUGGUGGCAGGCAUCUGCAGUCCCAGCUACUCGGGAGGCUGAAGCAGGAGAAUGGCAUGAACCUGGGAGGCGGAGCUUGCAGUGAGAGAAGAUCCCAGCACUGCACUCCAGCCUAGGCGACAGAGCAAGACUCUGUCAAAAAAAAAAAAAAAAAUGGAAUUUGUAAUUUAAGCCUUCCAAAUAUUUUCAGAUGUCUGUGUUUAUUGCAACUUUAAUUCUGGUAUAGUCAAGGAACAUAGUUUGCAAAAUAAUUUUUUAAAUUUAUUAAUAUUUAUACUCUGUCUUGGUGAAUGUUUCAUGAACACUUAAAAAGAAUGUGUACCCUGCCUGGAUUGUUUGGAAUGUUUUAUAUUAACAAAUGUCAACCAGGUCAAGUUGGUUAUGUUGCUGAGGUCUUCUAUAUCCUUUUUUUUUUUUUGUCUACUUGUUCUAUUAAUUACCAAGAGGAGUGAUGAAGUCUCCAAUGACAAUUGUCAGUUUGUCUUUCUCUCUUUUCAAUUCUAUCAUUUUUCCUUGCAAUUCAAUGUGUACUCAUUUAGAAUUACAUUUUCCCAGCCAGGCGUGGUGGCUCAUGCCUGUAAUCCCAGCACUUUGGGAGGCUGAGGCAGGUGGAUCACCUGAGGUCGGGAGUUCAAGACCAACCUGGUGAAACCCCAUCUCUACUAAAAAUACAAAAAUUAGCCAGGCAUGGUGGCGGACACCUGUAGUCCCAGCUACUUGGGAGGUUGAGGCAGGAAAAUUGCUUGAAUCCGGGAGGUGGAGGUUACAGUGAGCUGAGAUUGUGCCAUUGCACUCUAGCCUGGGAGACGAGUGAGACAAGACUCUGUCUCAAAAAAAUCAAUCAAUAAAUAAAUACAUUUUCCCAGUAAACAGACCCUUUUUAUCAUUAUGUAAUCUCACUCUUUAUCCCUGAUUGUAUUCCUUGUUCUGAAGUCUACUUCAUCUGAUAGUAAUAUAGUCAUUUCUGCUUUUUUGUUAAUGUUUGCAUGGUGUAUCUUUUUCCCACCAUUUAUCUAUGCCUUUAAAUUUAAAGUAUGUUUCUGGUAGACAGCAUAUAGUUGGAUGCUGCUUUUUCAUUCAAUCAUAGAAUCUCUGUCUUUUAACUGGUAUAUGUAGACCAUUUACAUUUGAUAUUUUUAAAUAUAUAGUUAGAUUAAAAUCUCCACCUUGUUAUCUCU
rnacentral:sRNA from 1 species